CUUACCUGUCUGUCAGUUUUUUACUAUUCCUAACAUGCUUUCUUCUCUUCUUCUUCUAUUCGUCCAAUCUGCAACUUUUUUUCCUCUAUCCUUUUCUCACUGUAACUCCGGACAGAUCUGCUCUACCGCCGGUCUAAUUUUCCGGCAGUGUUAUUUCCUCUACAGGAAGGAAGCUUUGCAUUACACCUCCAGACCUGUAAUGCUUCCAUUUUUAGUAGUGAUAAAAGAGAAAAGAAAAUGAAUCGGAGCUUCAGAGAUUCUUUGAUCACCGGGAAG
rnacentral:misc_RNA from 1 species